rnacentral:rRNA from 1 species
CCUACGGGGGGCUGCAGUGGGGAAUAUUGGACAAUGGGGGCAACCCUGAUCCAGCCAUGCCGCGUGUGUGAAGAAGGCCCUCGGGUUGUAAAGCACUUUCAGUGAGGAAGAACGCCUGGUGGUUAAUACCCAUCAGGAAAGACAUCACUCACAGAAGAAGCACCGGCUAACUCCGUGCCAGCAGCCGCGGUAAUACGGAGGGUGCGAGCGUUAAUCGGAAUUACUGGGCGUAAAGCGCGCGUAGGUGGCUUGAUAAGCCGGUUGUGAAAGCCCCGGGCUCAACCUGGGAACGGCAUCCGGAACUGUCAAGCUAGAGUGCAGGGGAGGAAGGUAGAAUUCCCGGUGUAGCGGUGAAAUGCGUAGAGAUCGGGAGGAAUACCAGUGGCGAAGGCGGCCUUCUGGACUGACACUGACACUGAGGUGCGAAAGCGUGGGUAGCAAACAGGAUUAGAUACCCGUGUAGUC